ACCAGACUCCUACGGGAGGCAGCAGUGGGGAAUAUUGCACAAUGGGGGAAACCCUGAUGCAGCGACGCCGCGUGAGCGAUGAAGUAUUUCGGUAUGUAAAGCUCUAUCAGCAGGGAAGAAAAUGACGGUACCUGACUAAGAAGCCCCGGCUAACUACGUGCCAGCAGCCGCGGUAAUACGUAGGGGGCGAGCGUUAUCCGGAUUCACUGGGUGUAAAGGGAGCGUAGACGGCCAUGCAAGCCAGGGGUGAAAGCCCGGGGCCCAACCCCGGGACUGCCCUUGGAACUGCAUGGCUGGAGUGCGGGAGGGGCAGGCGGAAUUCCUGGUGUAGCGGUGAAAUGCGUAGAUAUCAGGAGGAACACCGGCGGCGAAGGCGGCCUGCUGGACCGCGACUGACGUUGAGGCUCGAAAGCGUGGGGAGCAAACAGGAUUAGAUACCCGCGUAU
rnacentral:rRNA from 1 species